rnacentral:rRNA from 1 species
GAUGAACGCUAGCUACAGGCUUAACACAUGCAAGUCGAGGGGCAGCAUGAUUGAAGCUUGCUUCAAUCGAUGGCGACCGGCGCACGGGUGAGUAACACGUAUCCAACCUGCCGAUAACUCGGGGAUAGCCUUUCGAAAGAAAGAUUAAUACCCGAUAGUAUAGUAUUUCCGCAUGGUUUCACUAUUAAAGAACUUCGGUUAUCGAUGGGGAUGCGUUCCAUUAGAUAGUUGGCGGGGUAACGGCCCACCAAGUCAACGAUGGAUAGGGGUUCUGAGAGGAAGGUCCCCCACAUUGGAACUGAGACACGGUCCAAACUCCUACGGGAGGCAGCAGUGAGGAAUAUUGGUCAAUGGACGAGAGUCUGAACCAGCCAAGUAGCGUGAAGGAUGACUGCCUUAUGGGUUGUAAACUUCUUUUAUACGGGAAUAAAGUGGAGUAUGCAUACUCCUUUGUAUGUACCGUAUGAAUAAGAAUCGGCUAACUCCGUG